CAUGCAAGUCGUACGCACUGGCCCAACUGAUUGAUGGUGCUUGCACCUGAUUGACGAUGGAUCACCAGUGAGUGGCGGACGGGUGAGUAACACGUAGGUAACCUGCCCCGGAGCGGGGGAUAACAUUUGGAAACAGAUGCUAAUACCGCAUAACAACAAAAGCCACAUGGCUUUUGUUUGAAAGAUGGCUUUGGCUAUCACUCUGGGAUGGACCUGCGGUGCAUUAGCUAGUUGGUAAGGUAACGGCUUACCAAGGCGAUGAUGCAUAGCCGAGUUGAGAGACUGAUCGGCCACAAUGGAACUGAGACACGGUCCAUACUCCUACGGGAGGCAGCAGUAGGGAAUCUUCCACAAUGGGCGCAAGCCUGAUGGAGCAACACCGCGUGAGUGAAGAAGGGUUUCGGCUCGUAAAGCUCUGUUGUUGGAGAAGAACGUGCGUGAGAGUAACUGUUCACGCAGUGACGGUAUCCAACCAGAAAGUCACGGCUAACUACGUGCCAGCAGCCGCGGUAAUACGUAGGUGGCAAGCGUUAUCCGGAUUUAUUGGGCGUAAAGCGAGCGCAGGCGGUUGCUUAGGUCUGAUGUGAAAGCCUUCGGCUUAACCGAAGAAGUGCAUCGGAAACCGGGCGACUUGAGUGCAGAAGAGGACAGUGGAACUCCAUGUGUAGCGGUGGAAUGCGUAGAUAUAUGGAAGAACACCAGUGGCGAAGGCGGCUGUCUGGUCUGCAACUGACGCUGAGGCUCGAAAGCAUGGGUAGCGAACAGGAUUAGAUACCCUGGUAGUCCAUGCCGUAAACGAUGAGUGCUAGGUGUUGGAGGGUUUCCGCCCUUCAGUGCCGGAGCUAACGCAUUAAGCACUCCGCCUGGGGAGUACGACCGCAAGGUUGAAACUCAAAGGAAUUGACGGGGGCCCGCACAAGCGGUGGAGCAUGUGGUUUAAUUCGAAGCUACGCGAAGAACCUUACCAGGUCUUGACAUCUUGCGCUAACCUUAGAGAUAAGGCGUUCCCUUCGGGGACGCAAUGACAGGUGGUGCAUGGUCGUCGUCAGCUCGUGUCGUGAGAUGUUGGGUUAAGUCCCGCAACGAGCGCAACCCUUGUUACUAGUUGCCAGCAUUAAGUUGGGCACUCUAGUGAGACUGCCGGUGACAAACCGGAGGAAGGUGGGGACGACGUCAGAUCAUCAUGCCCCUUAUGACCUGGGCUACACACGUGCUACAAUGGACGGUACAACGAGUCGCAAACUCGCGAGAGUAAGCUAAUCUCUUAAAGCCGUUCUCAGUUCGGACUGUAGGCUGCAACUCGCCUACACGAAGUCGGAAUCGCUAGUAAUCGCGGAUCAGCAUGCCGCGGUGAAUACGUUCCCGGGCCUUGUACACACCGCCCGUCACACCAUGGGAGUUUGUAACGCCCAAAGUCGGUGGCCUAACCUUUAUGGAGGGAGCCGCCUAAGGC
rnacentral:rRNA from 1 species